UACAGAGACUGCAAGCGUUAUUCGGAUUCACUGGGCGUAAAGGGUGCGCAGGCGGCCGUGUGUGUGAGGCGUGAAAGCCCGGAGCUUAACUCCGGAAUUGCACCUCAAACUACAUGGCUAGAGCAUUGGAGAGGGUAGCGGAAUUCACGGUGUAGCAGUGAAAUGCGUAGAUAUCGUGAGGAACACCAGUGGCGAAGUCGAGUCCCUGGACAACGACUGACACUGAGGCACGAAAGCUAGGGGAGCAAACAGG
rnacentral:rRNA from 1 species